GGCUAUUUGUUAAAGAUUUAUUGGUUGCGGAUGGGCAUGCGUACCAUUAGGUAGUUGGUGAGGUAACGGCUCACCAAGCCAUCGAUGGUUAGGGGUUCUGAGAGGAAGGUCCCCCACACUGGUACUGAGACACGGACCAGACUCCUACGGGAGGCAGCAGUGAGGAAUAUUGGUCAAUGGGCGAGAGCCUGAACCAGCCAAGUCGCGUGAAGGAUGACUGCCCUAUGGGUUGUAAACUUCUUUUACAGGGGAAUAAAAUGAGAUACGUGUAUUUUAUUGCAUGUACCUUGUGAAUAAGCAUCGGCUAACUCCGUGCCAGCAGCCGCGGUAAUACGGAGGAUGCGAGCGUUAUCCGGAUUUAUUGGGUUUAAAGGGUGCGUAGGUGGGCUGUUAAGUCCGCGGUGAAAGUUUGUCGCUUAACGAUAAAAUUGCCGUUGAAACUGGUAGUCUUGAGUAUAGAUGAAGUAGGCGGAAUGCGUGGUGUAGCGGUGAAAUGCAUAGAGAUCACGCAGAACUCCGAUUGCGAAGGCAGCUUACUAAGG
rnacentral:rRNA from 1 species